rnacentral:rRNA from 1 species
GGGAAGUCGAGCCUGUCCACUGAAGUAAGUURAAGGACCGCGGUAUUUUGACCGUGCAAAGGUAGCAUAAUCAUUAGUCUUUUAAUUGAGGGCUGGUAUGAAUGGUUUGAYGAAAUGGUCAUUGUCUCUAAUAUAAUUAAUUGAAUUUUACUUUUAAGUUAAAAGACUUAAAUGUUAAUAAGGGACGAGAAGACCCUAUAGAUCUUUAUAAUAAAUGUUUAUUAUUAAUUUUGGUUGCGUAAUUAUUWUAUGAGUAUUWAUUAUUUUAUUGGGGURAUAUGAGAAUAUAAUAACUUCUUAUUUUUUAACUUUGAUAGAUGGCUUAGUGAUCCUUUAUUAUGGAAUGAAGAUUWUGAUACCUUGGGGAUAACAGCGUUUUUUUAUUGGAGAGUUCUUAUUGWUAAAAUAGAUUGCGACCUCUMUGUUGGAUUAAGAUCCUACACCAAAAUAUAUWGGUGUAGGUGCUGAUAAUAAUUGGUCUGUUU